AAUAAAUAAAUAAAUAAAAAAUAAAUAAGUAAAAUAAACAGAGAAGAUUUGCAUGGCUGCUGCGCAAGGAUGACACGCAAAAUCGUGAAGCUUCCCGCAUUUUC